rnacentral:lncRNA from 1 species
GGAACUUGGAGGAGACACAUCCAGCCUUUGUUUAGAGCAAAAAUAACUUAAGUUGGUAGAUCCUUCCUCAAAGAAAUGUCCUUGGAUUCUACCUCAAAGUGACGGCCAAACAAGUGACAUCUGUAUGGUUUAAAAUUGUGUUUAAAGCAUGAACAAAUCAUGCUUAUGAUCUCUUCUUUCAAAUGGCUUUUUGAGUAGUCACCUGGGGCUGAGCACUGAGGACAGGUCUUUACCUCCCUCCAGAGACUGAUGCCGAGCGAAGGAUCUACCGCAGGUUCCAGCUCACCCCGAGCUGGGCACAGCACAUGGGAGGUAAUAUCUGCAGAUUACUGUUCUGGGCGUUAGGACUCCUAUAAAGACCCACUUCUGAAUGAUCACAAAUGGCCCCGUGGACAGUGGCUGACUCCGGACAGAUGGAUGAGCCACCCUGGACCAUGGAGGAUCAACACCGGCAUAAGGGUAAAUAGCAGGAAGGUAAGAGGAGUCUGCGUCCUUGUUGAUUUUGGAACAACCAUGCCAGUCCUGACCGCCUGUGCAACUAUUCCAGGGAGUGGGGUGGCUCUAACGUGCGGUCUGGAGUCGGCCCACCUGGGUCACAUCUCAGCUCCACUAGCUUACUAGCUGUGUGACUUUGAGCAUCUUACCCAAUCUCUCUGGGCCUCCAUUUCCUUAGCUGCUAAGAACAUCCAAUAAUAGCAUUUACGUCUUAUGUUUAUAUGAAUGCAGGCAAACACCACCCCUCAUACAUAACAUGGGUUUCAUACAUGUUAGUGAGCUAUGGUUGUGCUCUUAUUACCAUGACUACUACUCACACACGCUAAGCCCCGAUCCUGGGUGAAGCAGGACUGUGUGGUAUUUAGUCCCUGCAAGCAUCUGAGCAGGCAGACAUCACACACCCAUUUCAAGGCUUGGACUCACCAUGUGACUUCCCUGGGCUCACUCAGCCCAUGGCUCUCAGCCAGGCAGCCUCCAAGUCCACCAAACCACCUGCUCCCUGGUUUGGGAAUCAUGUUUUAUUGACACUGAAUGGGGGUUGAUGUUGUUUUGCAUUUUCUUACAAAACAUGCUGUACCAUCCUCUACAGAUUCCCAAGCAACCAAGGAAAACAAACAGCAGCUGACCCUCCCUGGAGCCCUCAGCAGGGACAGGGCCACUUCAUAUUGACACUGCACAGAAGGGGCCUGAGCCUCUCCCCUGCACAGGAUGGGACUCGGGACCCACUCCCUGUACCCUGCAUGCCACACACAGAUGGGCUUUCCCUCCCUGUACACGGGGACUUCCACCCAAGACGAUGAAGCGUCAUAUUUAUAUCCUCUGGGGCUGAGAUUUGCCAGUUUAAACUUGUCCCAAUUUGGAAGCUGUGUGUUCUGUUGCUUAGCUACCUCCAUCUAAAAGCAGAACGUACAAGAUCCAUACAUGAUAGCCACCAUUUUGCCUGAUCCGUGCUGGCCUUGCCUGCCCCGGCCUUUGCAGGACUACCAGGCCCCUCCCUUUAGGGCUGAGGUUGAUUUCUGCCCACAAUACCACACAGAGCCUGCUCACAGCACUGCCUCGUGAGCUCCUUCGCAUUUUUGCAACAAAUCCUUGAAAGUGCCCUCAUAAAUCUUGGUGGUCUUCUUGACCUUGGAGGCUCUGCAGUGUUCACAGGCAGACCCCUCACCACAGUGGUGAAGCAGGAGGUGGUGCCACGCCAAGAGCUCAGGAAGGUGCAUCUGUGCAGAACAGACCUGAUCUCCACUUGCCCUGAGAUUUCUAAACAAAGAGAGACCGGAAGCCCCAGCAACGGUCCCCCUGGAGGGCUGGGAAAGUCAGUCGGAUAAAUCUGCAGCAUCAAAAAAAGGAAGAAAAUCAUAAAUUGCUAAAUGCCAACAGCUUCUGUUCUUGGGAUCUCGGAAUCCAAAGAAGGCUAUAGAUGGCAGAGCCCUGCAUGCCUCAGCUGACGUGUGGCCAGUACCGGUACAGCACCGGCCCAACCAGGUGCCUCAGUUGAUGGGUGGCCAGUACCGGGACAGCACCGGCCCAGCCAGGUGCCUCAGCUGACGGGUGGCCAGUACCGGGACAGCACCGGCCCAAUCAGGUGCCUCAGUUGACGGGUGGCCAGUACUGGGACAGCACUGGCCCAACCAGGUGCCUCAGUUGACGGGUGGCCAGUACUGGGACAGCACCGGCCCAACCAGGCCACACACGGGGGUGGCAACCUGAGCUGGACCUGUGGGAUCUGCAGGGUCCCGGCUCAGACUCACCUUCCCACCAUUUUGUUUUCUUUUUUUUUUUUUUUUUAACGACAGGGUCUCAAUCUGUUGCCCGGGCUGGAGUGCAAUGGCACCAUCAUAGUUCACUGCAGCCUCUAACUCCUAGGCUCAAGCCAUCCUCUCUCCCUCCUGAGCCUCCCAAGUAGCUGAGAUCACAGGUGUGCACCACCAUGCCUAGCUGUUUUUAAAUUUCUAUUUUUUGUAGAGAUGGAGUCUGGCUGUGUUGCCCAGGCUGAUCUGGAAAAUAGCAGGAAGAUAAGAGGGAGGUGCCUCAGUCCCGUGGGCAGUUGGUGACUCAGGCACCUUCCUCUUAUCUGCCUGUGGGCACCCAGGUCUGGUGACCAGCCUGGGCAACACAGCAAGUGAUCCUGGACUCAAGCGAUUCUCCUGCCUCGGCUUCCCAAAGUUCUGGGAUUGCGGGAAUGAGCCACUGCGCCCAGCCCCCACCAUUCUCAAGAGUCCUCUUCACUCCAGGCACGAUCAGACUCAGCAGAGGCUCCGGAACCUGCUUUAGAUGUGGGCUUCAUUCCCUUCAUAGGCCAAGCCCCCAGACGUCAAGGGGAUUGAGAGCCCAAGUUCCCCGAGUGUCUCCUAGGGAGCAAAGAUGGGGCAAAUUCGUGAUUAUGGAAAUGAUGAAAAUGAUGAUGAGGAUAAAAAUGUUGACAAAGUUGUUGCUAAAGAUGAUGGAAAGAUAAUGAGGAAGAAAAAGAUGAAAAUGACAAAGAUGAUGAUAAACAAGCAGUGAAGGUGAUGAUAGUGAUGAAGAUAAAAUGAUGACAAUGAAAAGAUGCCGAAGCAGAAGAAAAGGAUCUGAAGAAGAUCAAGUUGGUGAAGCAAAGGGAAUGGUGACACCAAUAACUGGUCAUGUUUAGGAGAUGCCUUCCCAUGCAGUUUCCCCUUCGUCCCUGCAGCAGUAGCUGCAAAAUCACCGAGUACCCACAGGACUCAGUACCAUUCUAGGGACUGGAGAUACAGCUGAGAGGGAGAGGCUUCUUUUUGGAGUGAGGAAAAUAUCUUAAAAUCGAUUGUGCUGAUGGAAAUACAACUCUAUGAGUAUGUUGGAAGCCCUGAAUUGGACACUUAAAGUGCGUGAAGCAUGUGGUGUGUGAAUUAUGUCUCAACAAAGCUGUUAAAACUGAAAGAGACAAAUUCCCUAUCCUCAUGGAACUCAGAUUUCUUCCUUUUCUUCCUGGAGAGCUUCCUCUCUGCCAGGCAUGAUUCCAGGCAUUCUACGUGUGACGGCUCAUUGCAUCCUUCCCGUGGCCCCAAAAGACAGGCUCUGUUGUAGUCACAUCCCUUUUACAGAGGAGGAAAGUAAGGCGCAUGUCAGGAGGUGACUUCCCCAUGCCCACAUGCUGGAAAACUGCAGAGCUGGCUGGGAACCGAGGCAUUCUGUCCAUCCUGACUUCUCAGCGGUGCACUGUGCGGCUUCCUUAGAGCAAGGGUGGAGCUGAGAGGGCCGCACACAAGGGCCCCCUCACAUAUGCGAGGAAGGAGACAGGUUCGCUGAGGCUCCCUAGGAUACUGACAGUGGUAGCCCUGGAGGCUUCCGCUGCUGACAGUCACUUUACAGGAUGACCCAUUUAUUUUCCCUGCUAACUCAAGAGUUGAAAAUCCCCUUAACCUCAGUGUAAAGAAACAUGUACUUCUCCCAAUACAAGUGCAUAAGUGACUUCACAUCAGAGGUGGCCAGUGGGUGGUCCCGGGCCAAAUCUGGUCCACAAAUAUGUUUUCUGGGUGCACACAUUGCUUUUAAAAAUAGGAAGAGGCUCUCAACAUUUACAUGAAGGCUAUUUCACCAAAAAAAUCAAAUCUUCGGUUUCUCUUGGAAAUUCUGGCCACAAUGGCCUGACAUGUGGCCAGGGGUGAUGGCCCACAGGAUCUGAGUGACAGCUGCCCUCUUGAGCAAGAGUGCACACUCCCCAGGAUGCCACAGCCCUGCCUGGCCCAGGUCACUUAUGGAGCAUUUGGGUCUGUGACUUCUACUCUGUUGAAUGAGCUGUGAAGACACCAUCCCCCACCCGCCUCCUGUGGCGAGUCAUGGGUUAAUACUAUUGGUCUUACUCAUUCCGAUAAAGCUUUCUCUCCUAUUCCUCCUGACAAGUGCUCAGAAAGCUUUAGGAGUAGCUUGUUUCCACCAGAGACUUCCUUCCAGUGAGGGUGAAGUGGAGGCUUCUGGAGUAUCCUCACCUGAGGGCCUAAGGACCUGCAGCUCAGAAAUAGCCCAGGCUGGUCAGCAGCCAGACGGCAGUGGUGUCGCCAGAAGCGUAUGCAGACCCUGGCCUGGAGACAGCACAGAACCAGUCUCCAAAAUUGGCAAUGGCCACUGAGGUCCUGAGGGCUCACACUAUUCACAAAUACACUUCUGAAUAGGUUGGUUAUAAUCAAUGUAGUAAAUGGAAUCAUUGCUUAAAUGUAUCCAAAGAGCCCACUAUGCAAAGAGAGAUAUUCAUUCAAUAAACACUUAUUGUACUGAACUAAACUCUUAUUUUAUUGAAAUAA